rnacentral:tRNA from 8 species
GCCCGAGUGGCGGAAUUGGUAGACGCGCCAGAUUUAGGUUCUGGUGUCCUAGCGACGUGGGGGUUCAAGUCCCUUCUCGGGCA